UCCGGCUUUGGGUCUUUGGAUUGAGUGUCCCCAAAGAGGCCGCUGAGCUUGGUGACGCUGCUCAUGGAGCCCCGGCGCGAGUGGGUGAGCUCCUUCUCCUUGCGCUGCACCACAGCCACGUCUUUGCGCCGAUGAUCACAGACGCAGUAGACGGUGAUGCCCGAGAAGACGGCCCCCAUGACGAAAGCCAGGAUGACUGCAAUGGCCAAGAGGGUGACGGGAACCAGCUGGUCGUGGCCUUUGAGGGUCCUCCUCCCUUCAAUUGUGACAUCACAGUUGGUUGCUGUGGAAAUGAUUGUCCUGUGACAAAGGAUUGUGACUUAAGUAGAAGCAGCAAAUAUCUCUUAAGAAAUAAAGAUUCUGUGAUCCAACAAAUACCCUUGGUAAUAAAAGGCAGUCAAGGCAAUUCACCAUAAGGAAAGAGUGUACAAGACGGUAAGAUAUCAAAUAAUUUUCAAAUGUGAUACUUUUCAAAUAUU
ensembl:lncRNA SEMA6A-AS1 SEMA6A antisense RNA 1